rnacentral:rRNA from 1 species
UGAUCAUGGCUCAGAUUGAACGCUGGCGGCAGGCCUAACACAUGCAAGUCGAGCGGUAGAGAGAAGCUUGCUUCUCUUGAGAGCGGCGGACGGGUGAGUAAUGCCUAGGAAUCUGCCUGGUAGUGGGGGAUAACGUUCGGAAACGGACGCUAAUACCGCAUACGUCCUACGGGAGAAAGCAGGGGACCUUCGGGCCUUGCGCUAUCAGAUGAGCCUAGGUCGGAUUAGCUAGUUGGUGAGGUAAUGGCUCACCAAGGCGACGAUCCGUAACUGGUCUGAGAGGAUGAUCAGUCACACUGGAACUGAGACACGGUCCAGACUCCUACGGGAGGCAGCAGUGGGGAAUAUUGGACAAUGGGCGAAAGCCUGAUCCAGCCAUGCCGCGUGUGUGAAGAAGGUCUUCGGAUUGUAAAGCACUUUAAGUUGGGAGGAAGGGUUGUAGAUUAAUACUCUGCAAUUUUGACGUUACCGACAGAAUAAGCACCGGCUAACUCUGUGC